rnacentral:rRNA from 1 species
AAGACCUUGCGCUUUUGGAGCGGCCGAUGUCUGAUUAGCUAGUUGGUGGGGUAAUGGCCUACCAAAGCUUCGAUCAGUAGCUGGUCUGAGAGGACGACCAGCCACACUGGGACUGAGACACGGCCCAGACUCCUACGGGGGGCAGCAGUGGGGAAUUUUGGACAAUGGGCGCAAGCCUGAUCCAGCCAUGCCGCGUGAGUGAAGAAGGCCUUCGGGUUGUAAAGCUCUUUCAGCCGGGAAGAAAAGGCUACGACGAAUAAUCGUAGCUCAUGACGGUACCGGAAGAAGAAGCACCGGCUAACUACGUGCCAGCAGCCGCGGUAAUACGUAGGGUGCGAGCGUUAAUCGGAAUUACUGGGCGUAAAGGGUGCGCAGGCGGUUUUGUAAGUCAGAUGUGAAAUCCCCGGGCUUAACCUGGGAACU